CCGGUCGUGGCGCAAUUCGGCAGCGCACCCGGUUCUUACCCGGGAGGUUGGGGGUUCGAUGCCCUCCGGCCGGACCA
rnacentral:tRNA from 1 species